rnacentral:rRNA from 1 species
CCUACGGGUGGCAGCAGUGAGGAAUAUUGGUCAAUGGGCGUAAGCCUGAACCAGCCAAGUCGCGUGCGGGAUGAAGGUUCUAUGGAUCGUAAACCUCUUUUAUAAGGGGAUAACGUGUGCGACGUGUCCUAUUUUGUAUGUACCAUAUGAAUAAGGAUCGGCUAACUCCGUGCCAGCAGCCGCGGUAAUACGGAGGAUCCGAGCGUUAUCCGGAUUCAUUGGGUUUAAAGGGUGCGUAGGUUGUUUUAUAAGUUAGCGGUGAAAUACCGCGGCUCAACAUCGGGGCUGCCGCUAAUACUGUAGGACUAGAGAUCGGAUGCGGCAGGCGGAAUGUGUAGUGUAGCGGUGAAAUGCAUAGAUAUUACACAGAACACCGAUUGCGAAGGCAGCUUGCUAGGCUGCAUCGGACACUGAUGCACGAAAGCGUGGGGAUCGAACAGGAUUAGAUACCCGAGUAGUC